rnacentral:tRNA from 1 species
GGGGACGUAGCUCAGUUGGGAGAGCGCAGCACUCGCAUUGCUGAGGUCAGGGGUUCGAAUCCCCUCGUCUCCACCA